UACUUCUGCUUUUCCAUUUGCAGUUCCUCGUCCUGAGCUUGGCACAAGUCCUCUUUAAGACUAAUGGCUUGGUCACAAGAUAAAGGUGGAGAGAUGUAAGUGCCAUCGACUCGCAGGUCAUCAAAGCACGGCUUUCUGAAGGCAUAGGAGUCGUCGCAGCAGUGGCCCACUCCUGCAUUGACAGGCUUCCCACCGUGUCUUCUGCACAGCUCUCCAAGAAUCAGCUUUGUCUUGUCCGGAAGAGAAUUAAAGGAAGAGGGAACGCAUGCAGGAGCUGCAGUGUUGCCUGUCUUACCAGGCUACCGAGAGAGUCAACUGGAUGCCACGACUGGGAACACCACCAAGCCUACAGCCAAAACGUCUGCAGUAGAAGCAGCAGACAAAGCUAAGAAGUGAAUCAACAUAAUUCAAAGCACAAACCCUGUGAGUCGGUCCAAGAAUUUGUUUGAAAGGAGACCAAGAAAUUAAACCAUCGCUUUUUCUCAGAGCCAAUUAACUAAAAGGAAGAUCAAACACAUAAGAAAAAGGACAUACAAUUACAUAAUUGAUGGCGUUUUUAUUUCAAGCAAGAGUAUCAUCUAUGGCUCUAUCUCCCUUAAUGAAAAAAUGCUAACAAGCGAGAUCUUCUGAAGAAGAAUCCCUUUAAACACACGAGACAACGUAAACAGCCAAUCCCCAGUCUAAACACUGAAUUAGUGCAUACUGAAUCAGUGAUGCUCCAGGAAAAAUUCAGGGCUCCCCUGAGCCUCUGGCCACACCAUUAACCAAUCAACUAACCAACCAACCGAGACAAAGCUUUGCUUAGAACAUGUUUCUGGGUGAGGGGCUGUUGCUUUCUCAAUGUUGGACUCAUAGCCAAUAGCAAGACAACACUGUGUAGGGCAGAAACUCUCUACCUAAUCUGCAUAUUUUCCAUAUAAGAUGAUAUGCAUCUUGUACUUAAGACAGCAUUGCAUCGCUGCACCUGGAACAACCUUGAGCAUCAGAAUUACCAACAAAAAGGUUGCCAUUAAGUAAGAAAAAGAACAUUUGAUUCAUUUACAGUGUGAGAGCUGAAAAGAAUCCAGAACAGAGCCUUGUUGGACCUCGCGGGGCUCAAAGUACAUGCAUCAAGUGGUUCAAAUUUUUGGCUGCUCUGAGCAUGUGUUAGCCGGGGAACAACACUGGGAGUGCUGCGAAUGUUGGUUUUGCAUCUGGAAAAGCAGAUGAGUUCAGAACUAAAGACUCCACGAGCAAUGAGGAUUUGCUGGGAAAACAUUAAGACUGGCAGAUGUGGAAUGGAAAAGCAUUCUGUAUUUUCUGUCCCCACCUCAACCUGAGGUUUAAUGAACAAGCUCAAAUACCUCAAAUAACACAUAGCCUCAAUCCUAUCUGGAAAUGUCAAAGGGGCUGGAGAGAUGUUUAAGGGCACUGGCUUCUCCUCUAGAGGCCCAGGAUUCGAUUCUCAGUACCCACUUGGCAGCUAACAAUCAUCUGUAACUCCAGUCCCAGGGGAUCCGACCCCUCUCUGGCCCUCUUGGGUGCGGUACAUACAUGGGCACAGACACAAACAGGAAAAACACGCACACACACACAAUAUAAAAAUAAAUCUAUUUUUAAAAUGUUAGACAUUUUA